rnacentral:rRNA from 1 species
GAUGAACGCUGGCGGCGUGCUUAACACAUGCAAGUCGAACGAAGCAUUUGCGACAGAUUUUUUCGGAAUGAAGUUGCUUAUGACUGAGUGGCGGACGGGUGAGUAACGCGUGGGUAACCUGCCUUGUACUGGGGGAUAGCAGCUGGAAACGGCUGGUAAUACCGCAUAAGCGCACAAUGUUGCAUGACAUGGUGUGAAAAACUCCGGUGGUAUAAGAUGGACCCGCGUCUGAUUAGCUAGUUGGUGAGAUAACAGCCCACCAAGGCGACGAUCAGUAGCCGACCUGAGAGGGUGACCGGCCACAUUGGGACUGAGACACGGCCCAGACUCCUACGGGAGGCAGCAGUGGGGAAUAUUGCACAAUGGAGGAAACUCUGAUGCAGCGACGCCGCGUGAGUGAAGAAGUAAUUCGUUAUGUAAAGCUCUAUCAGGAGGGAAGAUAGUGACGGUACCUGACUAAGAAGCUCCGGCUAAAUACGUG